GCGGAUGUAGCUCAGUUGGUUAGAGCGUUGGUUUGUGGUACCAAAUGUCGAGGGUUCAAAUCCCUUCAUUCGCCCCA
rnacentral:tRNA from 1 species